rnacentral:rRNA from 1 species
GACGAACGCUGGCGGCGUGCUUAACACAUGCAAGUCGAACGGAAAGGCCCUGCUUUUGUGGGGUGCUCGAGUGGCGAACGGGUGAGUAACACGUGAGUAACCUGCCCUUGACUUUGGGAUAACUUCAGGAAACUGGGGCUAAUACCGGAUAGGAGCUCCUGCUGCAUGGUGGGGGUUGGAAAGUUUCGGCGGUUGGGGAUGGACUCGCGGCUUAUCAGCUUGUUGGUGGGGUAGUGGCUUACCAAGGCUUUGACGGGUAGCCGGCCUGAGAGGGUGACCGGCCACAUUGGGACUGAGAUACGGCCAAGACUCCUACGGGAGGCAGCAGUGGGGAAUAUUGCACAAUGGGCGGAAGCCUGAUGCAGCAACGCCGCGGGCGGGAUGACGGCCUUCGGGUUGUAAACCGCUUUCGCCUGUGACGAAGCGUGAGUGACGGUAAUGGGUAAAGAAGCACCGGCUAACUACGUG